UAAUGAAAAAUAAAAUGCUUUCGGAUUUAAGGCAGAUUUUCCUUUCCUCCUUCACGAUUUUUCCCCCCUCCUUCCACGUUUUUUUCAUUCCUUCUCCUUCACGAUUUCUCCAUCCUCAAGGGCCCUCACCGAUUUGAUCUCUCUGUAAUCUGCCUCACUCAUCGUUGUCACUCCUCAGAAUCUCCCUCCUCCUUUGGCUUUCACUUCUAGUUCUCGUCGGUAAGUUUAUUUUCCUUUCUUAUUUUUUUUCAAUUUCUCUCUGGCGUCAGUCCUUGUUCUCGUUGGUACUCUAUAUGCUACUACUGAUGUUUUUUUGUCAUUUAAGAUGGGAUGGUAUCUAAUGGGUUGAAUGGAAUGAAAUUAAAUGUUUAGGGAUUUUGAUUUUAGUUGUGAAGAUCAAGGGUUGUUUCUAUGGUUUAUUUUCUUUUCACUGCUUUCUUGAUAGAUUAUGUAUAUGAUAGCUUUCUUGUGCUUUGGAAUGGAAUAUUGUUUUCCUAGUUGAUCGUUUUGGUAUAAAAUUUUCAUUUUGGAAAUCCAUGCCCAUCGAAUCUGUUUCAUUUUUGUUUGUCUCUUGGAAAAUCUGCUUCCUCGACAUCGACGUUGGUACCAGAUGCGCUCGCGCAGGUACCUGAUGCAUGUUAUGGAUCAGAGUUGAAUCACAACAAGCCACAAUUGAAAAACUCUUGAGACGGUUGACAAGUCAAGAAUGUCCAUAAAGAUCAAGAACAGUCUAAUGGCAAUUAAAAGAUGUUAUGUCACGAUAGUUUUCAGUAUAAAGUUUCAAACUACAUUGGAUUAGAUUGUGUUAUGUGACGACAUAUAUUGUUUGGCUUCACUCUAAACAUUUGAUAGUCCUUAAGUAUUUUAUGUAGGUUUGAAACAUAUCGUGCAAUAAUUUUGUUUGGUUGUUAGGCCAUUUAUUGUAACUCUGCUAGAUUUGAAAUAUGUUUUAUAGCUAUUCUCAGAGUAUUGUAUUGAAACUGGAAUUGAUCAAUAUUGAAAUGAAAUGCCAAAUUGUGUUUUGGAAGUA